CCCCGUCGAUGGAAGGCGGCCGAGCCCUCACCCAUGGAUCCGAGGAUCUCCUACCCCUCUGCGUCGGAUCCGCUUCUCCCUCUGCUCGAGAUUGCUGCCAUCCGUCCGCUCCCCCCGCUCGCGAUGGCGCCCGCACGGAACAGCCUCCUCCCUUACCCUUCCCCAUCACAUGCCAUGGGAGCCAAGCCGUCGAUGGAAAGUGGCCGAGGAUCCGCCCCAUCGCGCCGUCCUCCCCUCUGCUCCGACAUCGAGGAGUGCUACAGCUUUUUGAUGUGCUUGGCUGGGAUCUGAGGGUGCCAGCGUGCCAGGUAGGGGAAGCAAGCGAGCUCUGUCGGUGGGGGAGCUGCUGGUGGUUGUAAGUGUAGAGCGCGCGAUUGGCUGCCAGGAUGGAUCACGUAGUCGGGGGCAAGUUCAAGCUCGGGAAGAAGAUCAGGAGUGGAUCAUUCGGGAAACUUUACCUCGCCGUGAACGUGCAGAAUGGCGAGGAGGUGGCUGUCAAACUGGAAUCAGUCACAUCACGACAUCCACAGCUUCACUAUGAAUCAAAACUAUACAUGCUUUUGCAGGGUGGAAGUAAGGUUUUUUUUUCAUUUGCUUGUGGUUCAUCGUACCUCCCGUUUUGUGCAUGCUGUACCACAGGUAUCUAGCAGGUUACUUAAGAAGGCCAUUGGAUUCAAAACUCAUGUACGCUACUGUGACACAUUGAUGGUCCUGAAGUUGUGGAUAAUGUCAAAGGUUCCCUUUAGAUCAAGGUAACUUCUAGGUCCCUUUGUCUAGAUUAUACACAUAUACUGUGUGUUUGAGAAAUAUAUUUGAGCCAUAAAUUUGUUAUGCAAAUCUGAAGCAUAAUCGCUUAGUUGUCAUCCUAUCUCUACUCCUCCUUAUGUUUGUAUCGUAGGCGUCCACAUUCGAGGAUGGUGCACGGUUCUAAUGCCUUGUCUGUUCUAAUGCCUUGUCUGUUCUAAUACUUUGUCUGUUCUGAUGCCUUGCCUGUUGGGAGUGCUCUGUCUAAUGCCUUGCCUGUUGUCCGUUCUGAUGCAUGUUGUCUGUUCUAAUGCCUGUUCUCUGCGAACUAUCUUUGUCUGUUUCGGUGGAGGCUGCCGGCGUGAAGCACUGGCCACCGGGUGCUGCACGUCAACGGCCAACAGGGGGCACCGUGCAGGUGGGCAGAAGCAGCCAGCGACAACAGUAGGGCACAGGGAUGUAUAUGGACCUUCCAAAUACACUAGACUUUUGCAAGCAACCAAAGAUACUCUCAGAUAAGAAGGUU